CCCCCGUUUCUUGGGAGCAAUGUGUGCGCAUUGAGAAGCAGCAAAUUCUUCCUUCAUGGGUGGCAAUAGCUAACAAGAAGAUUCCAGCACUCCUCCUUACUCAUAAUCUGUGGCUAUGUUUUCUUGGCCUUCUCUUCUAUUGCGCGGAGUUGCAGCCUUGCCCACAGAAGUGCAAGAGCCUUCAAACUGGUAGAGCGAGGAAGCAAAAAAAGAAAGAUGCACCUUAGGCCUUUUGAUUUGCAUGUGCAAAUAAGGAUGUGCAUACAGUAUUUGAGUUCCCCUCUUAUGGGAACCACAUGCAGGUGUUGCUAACAUGUAAGAUUCCAACAUGAACCUACUAGGUAGAAGAAAUUCAUUAGCACAUGUGACUGACACUGUGAAACUGGGUUUCAACAGAUCCUGGGUAUUCAUUGCUCACUAUAGAAAGUAAUCAUUCCUCCUUAGGCAUCCCUCCCAUUAUUGAUUUUCUUAUGACUAUACAUCACUAGCAGCUGCCAGUCACACCCAUGUUAAAUGGAUCUUGAUUGGAUUCGGCAUUCAUGCAUGUCCUGCAUAGUACAGCUUGUAUUGUUUGGCCUUUUGACCUCCUGCUGUAAAAUUUGGAACACUUUCCCCUCAUUUAUUUCUUUGCACUCAGGGUGCAUGUGUAUGAUACAUGCACACUUUUAGGUGACCACUUCAUGCAUCUGCCAAAGCGGGCUCUGUGCUGACUUUGGCAGUUUGUCUGAACCAAAAUCCAGAAUUAAAGCAAAGGACUUAUUAUCUCCAAAUAAGAAAUAUAUGUAGAAACCUCAAACUAAGGAUAAGGGGAGUUAUCACACUUUUCCAACAUGCCAGGGUUAAAAUAAAUCCUGAAAGUAAAAUGCCACAGAGGAAGUUACCGAAAAAGUCUGAAUUAGCAUUUCUCUUAACUGAAUGUCGUCAUCCAUCUUUUCAGAGCAACUGUUUCUUGUCUCACGAGACCUUGAACAAAUGGCAUGAAGCAUAAUAUACGUCAGCUGGGGCCAAGCCUCUACCAUGCUCUCUUUUUUUAUUUUUGCAUUGCAUUGUGUUAAUGAUGCAUAAAUAAAUAUGCACUCCUUAGUUGUGGUCCAAUAGCUUACAGGUUUCCCAGAAGGCUGCAGUGUGGAGCAAACGGCCCAUUACUGCUGAAGAGAUAAUAACAGCAUCUACUCUGUGUGAUAGUUUAAACCAUCUAGUUUGUCUGGUGUGAUCAUUCUGGACUAUCCCUUAUCAAACAAAUAGUUGUGAUGAAUCCAAAGCUAAAUAUUAGGCAAAUACUGUACAACAUUAUACAUAGGCAUGUAGGCUUAAACUGAAUUGCCCUCUUUCUUCUGCUUCCUCCGGUUGUCAUCUUAGCUUCUUUCUGACUCACAAUAAACUUUGUGAAAUUG